AUUUACUUGCCCUAUUAACUCUGAGAGGCAGAAUAUAGAACACAUUCUUGCUUGUAGUCAUAAUUCUACUCUCCCUGGCCCUCCCUCCCUCUCUGACUUUCAAAAGGUUUAAUGAGAUGAACAGCUUUUCAGCUAUCAGCAAAGUGUGAUCUUACCUGCGAUAUCUGUGUGACAAGAACAUUCUACAAGGAAAACACAUGAAGAUAUAUCUACAUAGAAGGAUUAAUUAACUCUGUGUCUCUCUCGGUAGAUACAACAUUUAAGAACGGCUCAUCUUUCCUUAACAAAUAAGGAGACACGUGUAAUAUUUAAAUACACUGCAGUAAAUCAGGUAAGUGGAUUCGUCUAGGUAUUAGCAGUUUUGACCAAGUACAAUCUCGUUUUAAAUCCUUUUGGAAUAAAAUGCUGUGAUGAAACUAAAACGUAUAGGUUAAAUAACAAC